GAGCCAAAUUUUACACAGAGCAGAAGCCAAAAGCUAGUGCUAACUCAGGGUGAAUAGGAAAGACUGGAAAAGACCAAGGUGUGUGUUUACAUGCUUUCAAAGCUGCACCCUCCUAAGAAUGGAAUGAUUUUGCUGAGAGUUCACAACAUCUUGAAUAAGCAUUGAUAACACAGUUUAUCAUGAUCAUCUCCCCAUAUCUGCUUGUCAGUUGACACAUGAUAUAUUUUUACUGAGUGACGAUUGGGAGGGAAAAAAAUGCCUGAACCUAAGCUGUAGGAUUUGCGAGAACAAAGGACCUGGAGAAAGUAUUGGCUGUGACAGGAGACCCACACUCAGUGAGGCUUGUUCCUGCUGAGUGCACAAUUCCAACUUGGUAAUUUCUCUUCUUGGCAUCAGAUGAUGCUGGCUACACUUCAGGAACACAUCAAAGAAUGAAAUCUUUCCAUUCUGAUGAAUAACCUGGUGUAUGAAAUCAGCCCGACUGCAACUGAGAUGCUUAGGGAAACAAAAGGUCAUCAGGAAAUCCCAUUUCUCCACCUAAUGGAGCAGAGCUGUGGUCACUGCUGGGAGUGUUUCUGCCUUUUGAUUCCUUGCCAACUGGAGUGAACGUGGCAUGUGGCCUGAUAUAGUUUUAUUCAGAAAAGCACUGCCAAUUAGAUGGUAAAAGCCUGCAAUUUUCUGAAUGUUUAUAAUCUAAGUGGGUGUGCUUAGGAUGCAGUCCAGUGGGCAGCUUAAUAUUCCACUUGAAAAUGCACCGACGAAGGGCAAAGGUGCACAAUCUGGUUGUUUUUCUCUAAAACAGAAUAAUUUUUCAAAUGCCUAACGUUUAUGUCCUAUUUCAUGAUUGUGAAGGGCAAUUCAGAAUGUCUGACCUUUAAAACAAGGAGUUAGUGUUUGCCAUCAUGACAGUACUCGGGGGAGAAAUACUGGUGGACUAAAUUCGUAAGAAUGUUCCCAUGAUUUUUGGAUGUACUUAUGCCUAAUGGAGGCUAUUAGCAUCUUGAAAGUAAAUGUCCUGUGGUUUGGUUUGAGAUAUGCCAUGAACUCUACCCUUGAUUCUAUCAUUCAUCUACUUACACAUAAAACACACACACACACGCACACACACACACACACACACAC
rnacentral:lncRNA from 1 species